UAUAGUCCCAGCUACUUGAGAGGCUGAGGC
rnacentral:piRNA from 1 species